AAAGAUUAAGCCAUGCAUGUCUAAGUAUAAGCAAUUUGUACUGUGAAACUGCGAAUGGCUCAUUAAAUCAGUUAUCGUUUAUUUGAUAGUACCUUACUACAUGGAUACCUGUGGUAAUUCUAGAGCUAAUACAUGCUAAAAACCCCAACUUCGGAAGGGGUGUAUUUAUUAGAUAAAAAACCAAUGCCCUUCGGGGCUCCUUGGUGAAUCAUAAUAACUUAGCGAAUCGCAUGGCCUUGCGCCGGCGAUGGUUCAUUCAAAUUUCUGCCCUAUCAACUUUCGAUGGUAGGAUAGUGGCCUACCAUGGUGGCAACGGGUAACGGGGAAU
rnacentral:rRNA from 1 species